AUUUAAAUAGCUUAAAUAAAAGCAUAAUAUUGAAGAUAUUAAAAUGGAUUAAUCCUUUAAAUA
rnacentral:tRNA from 1 species